rnacentral:rRNA from 1 species
AGAGGGUGCAAGCGUUAAUCGGAAUUACUGGGCGUAAAGGGCGCGUAGGUGGCUAGGUUUAGUCAGAUGUGAAAUCCCCCGAGCUUAACUUGGGAAUUGCAUCUGAUACUGGCUAACUAGAGUACAGUAGAGGGAAGUGGAAUUUCCGGUAUAGCGGUGAAAUGCGUAGAUAUCGGAAGGAACACCAGUGGCGAAGGCGACUUCCUGGACUGAAACUGACACUGAGGCGCGAAAGCGUGGGGAGCAAACAGGAUUAGAUACCCUGGUAGUCCACGCCGUAAACGAUGAGAACUAGCUGUUGGGAAGAAUCUCCUUCUCAGUGGCGCAGCUAACGCGAUAAGUUCUCCGCCUGGGGAGUACGGCCGCAAGGUUA